rnacentral:rRNA from 1 species
GAUCGGGAUAACACCUGGAAACAGAUGCUAAUACCGGAUAACAACAGAUGAUGCCUAUCAACUGUUUAAAAGAUGGGUUCUGCUAUCACUCUUGGAUGGACCUGCGGUGCAUUAGCUAGUUGGUAGGGUAACGGCCUACCAAGGCGAUGAUGCAUAGCCCGAGUUGAGAGACUGAUCGGCCACAUUGGGACUGAGACACGGCCCAAACUCCUACGGGAGGCAGCAGUAGGGAAUCUUCCACAAUGGACGAAAGUCUGAUGGAGCAACGCCGCGUGAGUGAAGAAGGUUUUCGGAUCGUAAAGCUCUGUUGUUGGUGAAGAAGGAUAGAGGUAGUAACUGGGCCUUUAUUUGACGGUAAUCAACCAGAAAGUCACGGCUAACUACGUGCCAGCAGCCGCGGUAAU